rnacentral:rRNA from 1 species
GGAGGCGAACCCGCUGAACUGAAACAUCUAAGUAGGCGGAGGAGAAGAAAACAAAAGUGAUUCCGUAAGUAGUGGCGAGCGAACGCGGAAUAGCCCAAACCAAAGUUGUUACGGCAAUUUUGGGGUUGUAGGACCACGAGAUUUCUUGCGGAUUUAAUAAGAAUUACCUGGAAAGGUAAACCGAAGAGGGUGAUAGUCCCGUAUUGGUAAGAGAAGAUAAGAAUAGUGGUAUCCUGAGUAGGUCGGGGCACGUGAAACCUUGAUUGAAACUGGCGGGACCAUCCGCUAAGGCUAAAUACUCCUGAGAGACCGAUAGUGAACCAGUACCGUGAGGGAAAGGUGAAAAGAACCGUGAAUAACGGAGUGAAACAGAUCCUGAAACCAUACGCCUACAAGCGGUCGGAGCUUCUACGUGAAGUGACGGCGUGCCUUUUGCAUAAUGAGCCUACGAGUUACCGUUGCUGGCAAGGAUAAGUGAUUAAGUCAUGGAUCCGUAGCGAAAGCGAGUCUUAAUAGGGCGCUUAAGUCAGUAGUGGUAGACGCGAAACCGUGUGAUCUACCCAUGGGCAGGUUGAAGUUUAGGUAACACUAAAUGGAGGACCGAACCGUUUAACGCUGAAAAGUUUUCGGAUGACCUGUGGGUAGGGGUGAAAGGCCAAUCAAACUCGGAAAUAGCUCGUACUCCCCGAAAUGCAUUUAGGUGCAGCGAUGAUCGAUAGUUACUUAGAGGUAGAGCUACUGAUUGGAUGCGGGGGCUUCACCGCCUACCAAUUCCUGACAAACUCCGAAUGCUAAGUAAUGAUAAUCAUCAGUGAGGGCAUGGGUGCUAAGGUCCAUGUCCGAGAGGGAAAGAACCCAGACCAUCAGCUAAGGUCCCCAAAUGUAUGCUAAGUUGAAAAAACGCGGUUUGAUUGCCCAGACAGCUAGGAUGUUGGCUUGGAAGCAGCCAUUCAUUUAAAGAGUGCGUAACAGCUCACUAGUCGAGCGAUCGAGCAUGGAUAAUAAUCGGGCAUAAGUAUACUACCGAAGCUAUGGAUUUGCGCAUUUAGUUGCGUGAGUGGUAGGGGAGCAUUCUAACGGCGCAGAAGGUGAUUUGUGAGAAUUGCUGGAGCUUUUAGAAAAGAAAAUGUAGGCAUAAGUAACGAUAAGGGGUGCGAGAAACACCCCCGCCGUAAGACUAAGGUUUCCUCAGCUAUGCUAAUCAGCUGAGGGUUAGUCGGGACCUAAGGCACACCCGAAGGGGGACGUCGAUGGCCAACGGGUUAAUAUUCCCGUACUACUAAUAAUUGUGAUGGAGUGACACAGUGAUGAAAGCACCGCGAACUGACGGAAUAGUUCGUUGAAGCACGUACCUAUAGGUUUGAUAGUAAAAUGCGUCAGACUUGGAGAAAUGCGAUAGUACUUUGAGUCUUCGGACAACGAGAUAGUGUGCCUAAGGGCUGUCAAGAAAAGCUUCUAAACUUAGAUUAUUAGUACCCGUACCGUAAACCGACACAGGUAGUCGAGGAGAGUAUCCUAAGGCGCUCGAGAGAUUCAUGGCUAAGGAACUAGGCAAAAUAGACCUGUAACUUCGGGAGAAAGGUCGCCAGCGCAAGCUGGCCGCAGUGAAAAGGUCCAGGCGACUGUUUAUCAAAAACACAGGGCUCUGCAAAAUCGUAAGAUGACGUAUAGGGCCUGACACCUGCCCGGUGCUGGAAGGUUAAGAGGAGAUGUUAUCUUCGGAGAAGCAUUGAAUUGAAGCCCCAGUAAACGGCGGCCGUAACUAUAACGGUCCUAAGGUAGCGAAAUUCCUUGUCGG